AUUGAACGCUGGCGGCAGGCCUAACACAUGCAAGUCGAGCGGAGCGGCGGACGGGUGAGUAAUGCCUAGGAAUCUGCCUGGUAGUGGGGGAUAACGUCCGGAAACGGGCGCUAAUACCGCAUACUAUCAGAUGAGCCUAGGUCGGAUUAGCUAGUUGGUGGGGUAAAGGCCUACCAAGGCGACGAUCCGUAACUGGUCUGAGAGGAUGAUCAGUCAAACUGGAAGAGAGAAAAGGCCCUGCAGCCUACGGCAGGCAGCAGUAGUGAAGAUUAUACGAUAGUGGAAGGCCUGCUCCACCAAUGCCGCGGGGUUGAAGAAGGUCUUCGUAGUGUUAUGCACUUUUAGUUGUUAGGCGUUACCAACAGAAGAAUCACCGGCUAACUUCGUGCCACCAGCCGCGGUAAUAC
rnacentral:rRNA from 1 species